rnacentral:rRNA from 1 species
UUUUUCAAUAAACUUUGGACUUUUAUAAUCCGUGAGUGCAGCUACCUACUUGGAUGAAUAUAUAUAUAUAUAUAUAUAUAUAUAUAUAUAUAUUUUAAUUGGGGUAGCCCCCAAAAUAUUGGGACAUAUAAUAAAGACAACUCUGUUCCGCAGAGUAGCUAUUGACAUUAUAGUUGCGCAGGCACUUUGUUGACUCUAGAGAACCUUGGGCCAAUCGCACAUCCCCAUGACGGCGACUUUGCAUUUGGAUGUCAUCCAUAUCAACUUUCGAUGCCAGUUUCUGCGCCUACCAUGGUGACCACGGUUAACGGGGAAUCAGGGUUCCAUGCCAUACAAGGACCCUGAGAAACGGCUACCACAUGCAAGGAAGGCAGCAGGCGCGCAAGUGACCCACUCCCAACACGGGAAGGUAGUGACGACAAAUAACAAUACAGAACUCUUUAGAGACCCUGUAAUUGUAAUGAGUCCACUUAAAAUCCUUUAACUCUGAUCAAUUGGAGGGAAGUCUGGUGCAGAGCCACUGACCCGUGUGUGCUGCAGCUGAAACUCCACUAUCGCCUGCUGCUGCUCGCCCAGUCUCAU